rnacentral:rRNA from 1 species
UACCAGCUCUCCGAGUGGUAGGGAUGAUUAUUGGGCUUAAAGCGUCCGUAGCCGGCUUAGCAAGUCUCCUGUUAAAUUCAGCGACCUAAUCGUUGAGCCGCGGGAGAUACUACUAGGCUAGGAGGCGGGAGAGGCCGACGGUAUUCUCGGGGUAGGGGUGAAAUCCUAUAAUCCCGGGAGGACCACCAGUGGCGAAGGCUGUCGGCUAGAACGCGCUCGACGGUGAGGGACGAAAGCUGGGGGAGCGAACCGGAUUAGAUACCCGGGUAGUCCCAGCUGUAAACGAUGCGGGCUAGGUGUUGGGGUGGCUACGAGCCACUUCAGUGCCGCAGGGAAGCCAUUAAGCCCGCCGCCUGGGGAGUACGGCCGCAAGGCUGAAACUUAAAGGAAUUGGCGGGGGAGCACCACAAGGCGUGAAGCUUGCGGUUCAAUUGGAGUCAACGCCGGGAACCUUACCGGGGGCGACAGCAGAAUGAAGGCCAGAUUAAAGGUCUUGCUAGACAAGCUGAGAGGAGGUGCAUGGCCGUCGCCAGUUCGUGCCGUGAGGUGUCCUGUUAAGUCAGGCAACGAUCGAGACCCGCACCCUUAGUUGCUACCGAGGAAGUUUUCCAAGGGGCACUCUAAGGGGACUGCCGCCGACAAGGCGGAGGAAGGAGCGGGCCACGGCAGGUCAGUAUGCCCCGAAUCCCCCGGGCCACACGCGAGCUGCAAUGGCAGGGACAAUGAGUUCCAACCUUGAAAAAGGAAGGCAAUCCCCAAACCCUGCCUCAGUUGGGAUCGAGGGCUGCAACCCGCCCUCGUGAGCAUGGAAUGCCUAGUAAUCGCGCGUCAUCACCGCGCGGUGAAUACGUCCCCGCUCCU